CCUACGGGAGGCAGCAGUGAGGAAUAUUGGUCAAUGGGCGUAAGCCUGAACCAGCCAAGUCGCGUGAGGGAUGAAGGUUCUAUGGAUCGUAAACCUCUUUUAUACGGGAAUAAAGUGAGGGACGCGUCCCGUUUUGUAUGUACCUUAUGAAUAAGGAUCGGCUAACUCCGUGCCAGCAGCCGCGGUAAUACGGAGGAUCCGAGCGUUAUCCGGAUUUAUUGGGUUUAAAGGGUGCGUAGGCGGCCUUUUAAGUCAGCGGUGAAAGUCUGUGGCUCAACCAUAGAAUUGCCGUUGAAACUGGGAGGCUUGAGUAUAGUUGAGGCAGGCGGAAGGCGUGGUGUAGCGGUGAAAUGCUUAGAUAUCAUGCAGAACCCCGAUUGCGAAGGCAGCCUACCAAGCCAUGACUGACGCUGAUGCACGAAAGCGUGGGGAGCAAACAGGAGUAGAUACCCUAGUAGUC
rnacentral:rRNA from 1 species